GCCUGGCUAGCUCACUUGGUAGCGCAUCAAACUUUUAACUUGAGGAUCCAGGGUUCAAGUCCCUGGUCAGGCA
rnacentral:tRNA from 1 species